rnacentral:rRNA from 1 species
AAGGAAAGGUGAAAAGCACCCCGGGAGGGGAGUGAAAAAGAACCUGAAACCCUGUGCCUACAAGCACCUAGAGCGCGUCAAUGUGUGAUAGGGUACUUUUUGUAGAACGGUCCGGCGAGCGAUUGUAUGCAGCAAGGUUAAGGACUUAAGGUCUGGAGCCGAAGCGAAAGCGAGUUUGAAAAGGGCGUUAAGUUGCAUAUAAUGGGCCCGAAACCGGGUGACCUACCCAUGGUCAGGUUGAAGUGGAAGUAAAAUUCCAUGGAGGACCGAACCGACCUCCGUUGAAAAGGCGGCGGAUGAACUGUGGGUAGCGGAGAAAUUCCAAUCGAACCCGGAGAUAGCUGGUUCUCCCCGAAAUAGUUUUAGGACUAGCCUCAAGUUAGAUACCUGGAGGUAAAGCACUGAAUAGCCUAGCGGCCGAGAGGUUAGCGAAGCUUAUCAAACUCAGAAUGCCAGAGUAUUGAUGCUUGGGAGUCAGACAGUGUCAGAUAAAUGUCAUUGUCAAAAGGGAAACAGCCCAGAUCUACAGCUAAGGUCCCAAAGUCAGGUUAAGUGGAAAACGAUGUGAAGAUACGCAGACAACCAGGAUGUUGGCUCAGAAGCAGCCACUCAUUCAAAGAGUGCGUAAUAGCUCACUGGUCGAGCGUCUUUGCGCGGAGAAUUUAACGGGGCUAAACCUGACACCGAAGCUUAGGCAAUCCAGUAAUGGAUUGGGUAGGGGAGCGUUGUAUACGCGGAGAAACAGUAGCGUAAGCGGCUGUGGAGUGUAUAGAAGUGAGAAUGCCGGAAUGAGUAGCGCGAAUGCAGUGAGAAUCUGCAUGGCCGAAAGCCUCAGGUUUUUGGAGGAAGGUUCGUCCGCUCCAAGUUAGUCGGGAGCUAAGGUGAGGCCGGAAGGCGUAGCCGAUGCACAGACGGUAGAGAUUCCGUCACCACCAAAAGAGUUAAGCACAGGGACACAUUUGAAGUCUCAGAGCCGGGUGUUGGUUCCGGUAGAGAUCGAGGGAAGUUAGUACCGAAGUCUGGGAUGGAAGAUGGCGAGAAAAGCUGUGUGUAUUUCUGAGGUGCCCGUACCGCAAACCGACACAGGUAGGUAGGAAGAAGAUUCUAAGGCCAACGGGAGAAGGGUUGUUAAGGAACUCGGCAAAUUGACCCCGUAACUUCGGGAGAAGGGGUGCUCCAGAGAUGGAGCCGCAGAGAAUCGGCCCAAGCAACUGUUUACCAAAAACACAGGUUUGUGCUAAAUCGAAAGAUGACGUAUACGAGCUGACGCCUGCCCGGUGCUGGAAGGUUAAGAGGAGAUGUGCAAGCAUUGAAUCGAAGCCCCAGUGAACGGCGGCCGUAACUAUAACGGUCCUAAGGUAGCGAAAUUCCUUGUCAGGUAAGUUCUGACCCGCAUGAAAGGCGUAAUGAUUUGGGCACUGUCUCAACAGCCCGCCCGGCGAAAUUGUAGUACCGGUGAAGAUGCCGGUUACCCGCGACAAGACGGAAAGACCCCAUGGAGCUUUACUGUAGCCUAAUAUUGGGUUUCGAUGUUGCAUGCACAGGAUAGAUGGGACACUGGGAAACAGGAGCUUUGGCUUCUGCGGAGUGGCCGUUGGGAUACCAUCCUUGCGAUAUUGGAAUUCUAACCUGCGGCUCUGAAUCGAGUCGGGGGACAUUGUUAGGUGGGCAGUUUGACUGGGGCGGUCGCCUCCUAAAAAGUAACGGAGGCGUUCAAAGGUUCGCUCAGCUUGAACGGAAAUCAAGCAAAAGAGUGCAAACGCAGAAGCGAGCCUAACUGCGAGACUGACGGGUCGAGCAGUAACGAAAGUUGGAGUUAGUGAUCCGGUGGUAUGUGAGUGGAAAUGCCAUCGCUCAACGGAUAAAAGUUACCCUGGGGAUAACAGGCUGAUCUCCCCCAAGAGUCCACAUCGACGGGGAGGUUUGGCACCUCGAUGUCGGCUCAUCGCAUCCUGGGGCUGUAGUAGGUCCCAAGGGUUGGGCUGUUCGCCCAUUAAAGCGGUACGCGAGCUGGGUU